rnacentral:rRNA from 1 species
UACGAAGGGGGCUAGCGUUGUUCGGAGUUACUGGGCGUAAAGGGCGCGUAGGCGGCGCACCAAGUCAGGCGUGAAAGCCCUGGGCUCAACCCGGGAAUUGCGCUUGAGACUGGUGUGCUUGAGUACGGGAGAGGAUAGUGGAAUUCCCAGUGUAGAGGUGAAAUUCGUAGAUAUUCGGAAGAACACCAGUGGCGAAGGCGGCUCACUGGCCCGGUACCGACGCUGAGGUGCGAAAGCGUGGGGAGCAAACAGG